rnacentral:piRNA from 1 species
UCCAGAAGAUGUUCUACAUGCUGAAC